GCCUGAGUGGCUCAGUCGGUUGAGCAUCUGACGUCAACUCAGGUCAUGAUCUCAUGUGGUGGGUUCGAGUCCCACAUCAGUCU
rnacentral:tRNA from 1 species